UACGUAGGGUGCGAGCGUUGUCCGGAAUUACUGGGCGUAAAGAGCUCGUAGGCGGUUUGUCGCGUCGUCCGUGAAAACUUGGGGCUCAACCCCAAGCUUGCGGGCGAUACGGGCAGACUUGAGUACUGCAGGGGAGACUGGAAUUCCUGGUGUAGCGGUGAAAUGCGCAGAUAUCAGGAGGAACACCGGUGGCGAAGGCGGGUCUCUGGGCAGUAACUGACGCUGAGGCGCGAAAGCGUGGGGAGCGAACGGG
rnacentral:rRNA from 1 species